AUCAAGAAAAAGAAUUUGCAAUUACGUCAUCUGGAAGUACGCAAUGGCGACGCUUCUUCAAGCCUUCAACCUCUACGGUUACGUAGAUGGGACCUUCGAGAACGACAACGGCGAAUUUGAUGCCGCCGGCGACAAGGCCGUCAUGGCUCUUAUCAACGCCACUCUUGCACCGCCGACAAGAACCUGGAACUCACUGCUAACGUCUCGACUGAGUCUUACGUGGCCGCCAUUGAAGAUCUCCGAGUGAACUUGGCUGCCUUGGGAAGGAGAUACACGGACGCCGAGGUCAUUGAGGUCGUCAAGAACAAUAUAGCUGGGGGACUUCGUUUUGCAGUUUUCGGCGGAGAAGCUCAAGCUGAAACUCCUCCCAUGGAGUUGCACGACUUCUAUGUGAAGCUUCUUGAUGAAAAUUUCAGGCUUUCCAAGACAAGGUUUCCACCCCCUGGCUCUCUCUAUGCCUAAAGGAAGGACUCCUCGUUCUGGACGAGAAUGUUAGUCAGUGAGUACAGAGCAUUUUGUUUUGGAACUGAAAGAGUGGUAUUCUUUAUAUUCAAAGGAUCAACACGUCUCCAAGGUGACAUACAAUUCAAAGGAUCAUUGUUGACGUUCUUUCAUUUCAUUUUGGAGUAGAUGAUGAGAGUUAUGCAAUUUAAUGUUCUAGGCAGUGUACAUUCUGUUAAUUGAUAGUCCAGGUCGAGUUAGUCAGUGGGGUGUUUCCUGUUAAUAUCAGUUGAUAAUUCCGAUUAGGGAUUAACAAUUCCAAGUGCAGUUACUCAGUCUCGUAAACUUUCAUGAGAUAAUGUGGUGUUUCCUGUUCAUAUGAGAUUCAUGACUCUUGGAAUUGAUGUCAGGGUAAACCCCUGUUUUGAUGACAAUACAGUAUUGUAAAUGUGUUAGCUUGAUGAUUUUGAAGGUGCCAUUUUUUUCA